UCAGAUGACUGUAUCACGUCAAUUUACAAUGAUCUGAUUGGUGGAACCUACACUGUGCGUUCGAGCGCACUGUGAGACCUCAUAGUAAUGAUUGUGAAUACGGCCAUUAGUUCCUAUAGUUUCGGUUGUUAAUGUAAUUCGUAUUCUUGAUUCACUCGAAAAAAGGUAUUUUUAUCCUAAGUUUCGUCUAUGAAAUAUUAGCUCACAAACUGGAUAUCAUAGCACCGUCCAUCUUUUCUCCGCCUUUAAAUCCCAAAAGAUGAUACUGGAAACAAAUCGACAAACAAAAUAAAUGAUUUAAAAAUUUAUUAUAGGAACCACGUUUCACGAAAAAACCAAAAAGCUUUCUAUUAAUUAUUUGCAGAAAUAUUUUUGUACUACAAGCAUAAAGUGUAUCACUCGCAAGAAACAAUACCCAAAUAAGCGACGUUCUCGCGACGUAGGUGUUCAAAACGCUCUACUCCAUGCACUUGCAUGGAACACAUUGGGACGACUCCUGAAUAGGGAUGUUGCCAACUAAUCAAAUUUCAAUUCUUUAUCGAAAAACAAAACACUCAUAUGAAAUAGUAAAAUGUGACAUCUUAAACUUUUUAGUUUCGUAUGAGGAAGAUGUAGAUUUUACUUAUUCGGAAAGAUUUACUUACCAUAAAUUAUUGCUUAGUGAUUAUUAAAUAGAGGGUCUAUUUAUUAAGAAAUAAUUUGUUUUUGAGUUUUGACACAAGCAACAUCCUUAUUGCAAUGCAGGCGUAUAUGACAUUGCCCGCACCCCGGCAACGCGUACACGAUUUCGCAUCGACUUUGCAGUGAGUGAUGCGCCUUAAUAUGUUACAAUAUGCGGCAGAAAUAUUUCAACUGUGUUUGUAAUUUCUUACAAUAUUUAAUGUACCUAUAUUGAAUCUCUAACCAUAAGUAGUUACCUCAUCUUUUCUCUCUCAGCUUUUAUUCGUGUUAGUUUAGUCAUUUUAGUUAUCAUUUACAUCUGUAAACUAUUGGAGGGCCAGCACGAGAGUCGUGAUGAAGACAUUCGAAUAGUCGCAACUUUUGUAAUAAUCAGAUACAGAAUAAAAUACAGCCUGUAUUUAUGGCAUUCUUGUCAAAACUGUGCAUUUUAGCCAAUAUUAAGUAAGUGAUUUAAUGUAAUCAGAGAUUGCGAUUAACACUUAGUAGCUGUCAAACUUUCGUGCUAAGCCUGUAGUUGUGUUUGGUUUCAUGAAGUUGUACAUUUGAAACCUUCCAACAUUUCCAUAGGAUCAAAUUAUUUUUGUACAUUUUCCAUAAACUACAUCACCUCAAAGAAACCUGUUUGUUUUGAAUAAAUUAUAUUGAAGCUUGGCCUAGAACGAGGGGUUAUUAUUUUUCAUUACGAGUACAAUAUGUUUUGUAAAUUGAAUACUUAAUAUUUUCUUUUUGUAUAAAACACAAUGAACCCUACAAGCAUUUUACACUUAAGCUCUAGAGACAUUGGCGCAGUCGAAGCGAAGUGACAUAUUAAUAUAGUAGGUA